CCAGAAAGACUUGGUGGUUUGGCACCUAAGAAGUUCUUAUACAUACGUUCAUCCUUAUCAAUCGCUUUUUUCGGGUCGUUCCUCCUUGCCACUCGGGGUUCAGCUUGACUCACUGUACGACUGUAAUUUCCCUCCUCCGACAAUUCUUCAUUCAGUUCGGGUUGCACGAUAGGCACAAUAGGUUCAUCCCUAUUAUCAAGAAACAUUUUUCUCAUCUCCUCCCUUUGUUCGGCCAUCAUAGCCCAAAUCAUUGCUUAGACUCUUGCCAUCGUGAUUGGCUCGGGUGCAGCUACUACCUCUGGUGCACAUUUAAUCACUCGUGGUUCAGGCUGUUAGUUUUCAUUAGCAUUUUCUAAUAUGUUGCGAGUUCUCACCAUUUCGAUCUAUACACUCUAGAGAUGUUCAGUGUACAGUGACGAGAAUUAAGAUAUGGAAAGCUUUAUUUACGACAGCCAUAUAAAUCUUCUUAUCACUCGUAAAAGUUAUAUACUAGUUCUAAUACCGUAAUUAAAUGUUUGGAAAUUUUGAGCAAAUGACGGUUCAUCAACAAUAGAGCGAAUCUCAUUUAGGAAUUCGUUGAUAGGUCGAUUUCCUUUAGGAUUUUUAGCAAGUUUGGAUUUUAAAGAGAUGAUUCUUGAGCAGGAGGUGCUGGCAUAGCUUGUGUUGAGAUGCUUUCAUGCUUCUUUUGUGGUAAAUACAGAGGUAAUGAUAGGUUGAAUGAAUUGCAUCUGAGCAUGAACCAAGAAUUGCAUCGAAUACUACAUGAUCUUGGCGAUAGCAAGUCGUGUAUUCAUGAUUAGGUUUGGAUUUGUCUUUGUCGAUAAUGAAUUUUGUGGUAGGAUCAGUCACCCAUGUGAUGUAAUCUUCCAGACCUAGUCCAAUAAAUGUGGACUGCACUUGUCGCCUCCAUACAUGGAAGUUGUUGGUGAGUAAUUUGGUAGGAAAGUGACUUGAGGCGGUGAUUUGUAUUUGGGAUGAUUGUGUCAUGGUGAUGUUGAUGAAAAGGAUUAGAGGAGAAAGGCAAGAUGAUCGAUUGACUCUUUAGAGUGUGUGUGCUCUGAUACGAUAUGAGAUUUGAGAAUCAAUGGGCUCGAAUGAAUAAUUUCAUUUACAAAGAUCGAUACAUAUAUAGAUGGUAACGAGAGUUAAAGAGCUAUACAUGGAAUUUACUAAGAAUAGAUUGCAAUUACAUACAAAUAGAAGAGAUUAUUGUAGAUUAGUCAUGAAGAUGUGUACGAUGUUAUAGUUAGAUUGCUUAUUUGCAAUCCAUGUUAGCUAAGUAUGUCAUGUUGAAUACAAAUUGUAUUAAAACAUUAAAGUUCCAACCAUUAUAUGUUGAAGAAGAAGCAAAUACGCCUUAGUCACACCCAUUCUAAAUGAUAUGGAUGUUAUGGUUGUCGUUUCUAUGCAACCAAAUCGUGAUUCCAAGUUGCAGUUGUCUUACCAAUAUAUCAUGUUAGGAAAAGAUGACAUAGCAUGAAAUAUUGUAUGUUACAACAAAAAGAUAUAUCUUAUAGAUGUCUUGCACAUGGGUUAUUCCUUUUUAAGCACUUAUAUAAAAAUAAUAUCACGUAUGUAUGAUAUCUAUUUUGAGAGAUUUUUAGCAAGCAACUCUUUGUCUAUUAUUGUUAUUGGAUAGAAAAAGUAUCAUCUUCGUUGGGAAGAUUUUACUAGGAUUAGAUUCAUAAUAGUUUGUCAAAGAUUUUACUAUUAUGUAUUUAUAAACCCAUGAAGUUUUCUAUUAAAUAAAUAAAUAAAUAACCAUUCACCAUUUAUAUCUUUUUGGAAUAGAGUUUGUUAAAUUCUAAUAUAAAUAAAAAGAGUAUUUAUUUAGAUUCACACAUUACAAAAUUACAAACUCCAAGCAUAAAUCCGAAACUUAUUUUUAAACUUCUUCAUUUAUAUUACAAGUUUUAUUCUUUUUUCCCAACCCACUUGGGGUUUCGAAACCCUAAAAAAGUUCUAUCCAUGGAAGUUCAUAUUUAUUUCUUAUCUUAAUGAAUUUAAGGUCUAAAUCAAUAAAUGGCAAUGUAGAAUUAACCGCAUAUAUUAAGUUAUUUUUGGAAGCUUUCCAACACAACACAGAAAGGAAAUGAUGAGAAUUUAUGGUACCAAAUAACAAAAUAAUCCCGGUUCCUAUAAAAAUUUAUUAAAGCUCUACUCAUGAUUUCAUAAUCUCCUCUAAUAUGAGGGUUACGUUAUUGUAAUAAUAACUAUGAUAAUGUAAAAGCCAUAACAUAAAUCGUCUUAAUUUAAGAAAUAAUAUAAAUCCCAAGAUAUUGUUUUUAAAAUAAAAAGGAAAAAAGUGGGAGUCCAUUAGAAGGAGCCAAGCUGAUUAUUUGAGCCAAGAGAGCACCGAUUUGUUAUCCUUCCACUGUUCGAAGCGAGAGGUUAUCGCAGCUCUGUGAAGCCAGCCUAACGCAUUGCCCUCUGCUCUAGGAACCAAGAAGCCCAAGCCUUCGCUCAAGCCACUUGAUCCAACUCCGAACUUGGAACGGGCAAACCAGAUUUUGCAACAGCUUUGACCCAACCAAACAAGGCUCGAUCUCAGUCCAUCCCACUUUAGAGCCCUCACUUGAGUCACAAGCUCGCGUUACCAAGCUCGGCGAUAAACGAAGUCCAUUUGAUGUAUAAAUAAUCGGAAAAACUUUCUCCUCCAAGCGAUGUGGGAUGCGAAACGAAAUAUUUUCAUCUUCAUUCUCUCUUUAUCUCUGUCAAAUACUGUGAUUACUGAUUACUGACUACUUAAACACCCAUGCAACGGAUUUCAAGUAUUUUUUUCAAUCCAUGGAUUUAGAACUGUAAACUGAAAAAAGAGAUUGUGGAAUAGUUUUGGAAACUGGAAUUUGUUUACAAGUUUUUCGUGAGGUGUAAGUGAUAAGAUAUGAUAUUUGAGUAAUUGGAAUCAUUCUCUCGAAGAUUCAAGUAUCAAGUAUGAAACUUAGACAAUAUAUAUACCUGUUUUCUUCUCUUUUUUCUGUCUACGAACCGAAUCCAACAUGAUUUCUCUACAAAAUCCGUGUCUUAAUCCUAAUUAACACUCACUAACCGGUUACCCCUCCAGAUGUUGCAGAAAUUUUCUUGAAUUAUCUCUUUUGUUUUUCACAAUUCAAUGUCGGUUGCUCCCUUUCUCUCUGAUUCAAGUAUUCAACCACCGCCAAAGACUUGAGAAAGUGGAGGAGUUUAUCAAUUAAAUGAGUUUAUAUGCUUUCCAACUUUUCGUAAAUUGCAAGUUACUCCCCGUACCUUUCGAAAAUCUUCCUUUAACAAUUGUGGAAAGUUGUUGAAAUUUGAAAAUAAAAUAAAAAUUAUAGUCAAGGGGAUCGUUUUAAAGGUUUCCAGGAGAUACUUUUGUUGAUAUAUUUUUGAAUAAAAAGUUAAUUAUAUAAUAGAUUUUUACCAAAUAAUGUGGAUAGCUAAAAAUGUGAUUAUGGUUUAAAAAAGAAAUCUAAUAAAUAAAGAUUAAAUAAAGAAGUUAUGUUUUAAUAUAACUAAAUUAAUGAUGGUAUUGUGUUUGAUGAAAGGACUAAAACUGAACAAAGAAAAAAUAUUUGUGUUUCACUCACAGAUACUAGCAAUUGAUGGGUCUUAAAUGAAAAGGAGUUGGAUAAGGAAUAAAAACCUUGUAGACGUUCACACUUUUCUCUUUUGAUCAAAAUCUUAUUUAUAAAUUUCAAAAUUUGAUUCAAACCUGUUGUAUAAUUUUAAAUAAUUAAACUCAUAAUUAAAAUUAUACUCUUAUCCAUAAGUUAAUAGAUAUCUUGACUCAUUUAUAGUAUUAUAGAUUACAAGAU
rnacentral:lncRNA from 1 species